rnacentral:rRNA from 1 species
CCUCCUUUGUUCCUCCUUCUUUCCUUUUCUUCCCUUUUGUUCCCCCUGCCCGCGCCCCGCCGCGUGCCCGAAGAAGUUAUUCGUAAUGUAAAGUUCUUUUAACAGGGAAGUAAGAGAAAUUUGACGGUACCUGAAGAAUAAGCUCCGGCUAACUCCGUGCCAGCAGCCGCGGUAAUACGUAGGGAGCGAGCGUUAUCCGGAAUUAUUGGGCGUAAAGGGUGCGUAGAUGGCAUAGUAAGUCUUUUGUAAAAAUGCUGGGCUCAACCCAGUAGGGCAAAAGAUACUGCAAAGCUAGAGGAUGACAGAGGCAAGUGGAACUACAUGUGUAGCGGUAAAAUGCGUAAAUAUAUGUAAGAACACCAGUGGCGAAGGCGGCUUGCUGGGUCGAUACUGACAUUGAGGCACGAAAGCGUGGGGAGCAAACAGGAUUAGAUACCCGGGUAGUC